rnacentral:sRNA from 1 species
AACGGGAAAUGUGAAAACAAACUAUAGACAUAUCAUGCUUUAUAACCGAUCAUAUCUCUCGACGCACGACGCAGCGACAUCGCCAAGGUAUGUGUGCAUGGAAUGGGACUCAUUGUUCUGAACCGGUUAUGACGACUAAUUCUUGGUUAAUCUUUCUUCCGUCGAAUAUUCCCAGCUAUAUAGAUCUCUUAUUUUUUCCCAGUCGCAGGUUGUGACGUCAAUGUUGCUGGUAUUUGCAGACUCAUUUGUUGUCAACCAGGGUAUGGGCGUUUGUAUACCCUAUUUCGUGAAUAUUAUAUAAAGAUACUGUUUUCCAAGCUGCUUUCAAAUGUGAUUAAUAAAGGCCUAGUUUCAGAUUGCAUUUUUUUGGUCUGUUCAUGCAUUUGAUUAGUUAUUUGUAUAUAAAACCUGAUCCCUGUAGCGAUUCUUUGUCUCUGUA